rnacentral:rRNA from 1 species
GUGGGGAAUAUUGCACAAUGGGCGCAAGCCUGAUGCAGCCAUGCCGCGUGUAUGAAGAAGGCCUUCGGGUUGUAAAGUACUUUCAGCGGGGAGGAAGGUGUUGUGGUUAAUAACCGCAGCAAUUGACGUUACCCGCAGAAGAAGCACCGGCUAACUCCGUGCCAGCAGCCGCGGUAAUACGGAGGGUGCAAGCGUUAAUCGGAAUUACUGGGCGUAAAGCGCACGCAGGCGGUCUGUCAAGUCGGAUGUGAAAUCCCCGGGCUCAACCUGGGAACUGCAUUCGAAACUGGCAGGCUAGAGUCUUGUAGAGGGGGGUAGAAUUCCAGGUGUAGCGGUGAAAUGCGUAGAGAUCUGGAGGAAUACCGGUGGCGAAGGCGGCCCCCUGGACAAAGACUGACGCUCAGGUGCGAAAGCGUGGGGAGCAAACAGGAUUAGAUACCCGGGUAGUCC